rnacentral:rRNA from 1 species
GACAUCCAGAGAAUUUAGCAGAGACGCUUUAGUGCCUUCGGGAACUCUGAGACAGGUGCUGCAUGGCUGUCGUCAGCUCGUGUUGUGAAAUGUUGGGUUAAGUCCCGCAACGAGCGCAACCCUUAUCCUUUGUUGCCAGCACGUAAUGGUGGGAACUCAAAGGAGACUGCCGGUGAUAAACCGGAGGAAGGUGGGGAUGACGUCAAGUCAUCAUGGCCCUUACGAGUAGGGCUACACACGUGCUACAAUGGCGCAUACAAAGAGAAGCGACCUCGCGAGAGCAAGCGGACCUCAUAAAGUGCGUCGUAGUCCGGAUUGGAGUCUGCAACUCGACUCCAUGAAGUCGGAAUCGCUAGUAAUCGUAAAUCAGAAUGUUACGGUGAAUACGUUCCCGGGCCUUGUACACACCGCCCGUCACACCAUGGGAGUGGGUUGCAAAAGAAGUAGAUAGCUUAACCUUCGGGAGGGCGUUUACCACUUUGUGAUUCAUGACUGGGGUGAAGUCGUAACAAGGUAGGCGUAGUGCU